rnacentral:lncRNA from 10 species
CGUGGUGGUGGGUGCCUGUAAUCCCAGCUGCUCAGGAGGCUGAGGCAGGAGAAUUGCUUGAACCCGGCAGGCGGAGGUUGCAGUGAGCCGAGAUUGCGCACUGCACUCCAGCCUGGGCAACAAGAGCAAAACUCCAUCUCAAAAAAAGUGUGAAUGUAAUGAUUUAGUAAGAACUGUUUAAUGUAUUAAUAUUUAUAUUUCAUAAUCUGUAAUCAUGGAGUAAAAGCCAAGCAGGCUGCAUCACUUGCCCUGCAGUCUCCUAGCACAUGAACUAAUGGGCAGGCAGGAGGGUGUGCAUCAUCCACCUUGCUUACCGCUGACCUCCAGCACCCAGACAAUCCCUGGCACUCAGCACAAGUAACUGCUCAAUAACCAGAAACAUCAAGUGCUUGCCGGAAAAACUCCAUGAUGAGGGAGAGGGAAGAUUACACAGACCAAAUUUAAGAAUCUCUGCCUUAGGAACUCAGGGGCUAUCCUGCCUGAACCAUCGAUAGGGGAUAUUUUCAAGUCACCUCAACCACUGCUUGACUCACUCCAGGUGGACCCACCACUGGCACCUUCUAGUACCACAGCUCAGCCUUGAGUAUGUGCUUGAACUUUCGUUCGCACUUCACAUUUUCCACACACAAAUAUAAUGUGCCAAAAUGAGCCAGUCCUGCUCCCAAAACCCUGCUCACAAAAUGGAGGACGUGAGGGUGUGGACGCAUAGAAUGAAUGAAAUGAAAGAUGUCAGACAAAGCAAAUUCCAAAGAGAAGUGGGAAAUUUUCUAGCCUCCAAGAACAGAGGACAAAACUAUUAAACAUGAUACUUAUCUAGGUCACUAGAGUUCACUCUAGGACACAUUGUUUUGGAAAGAAAAGCCCUUCACCAUUCCCCAGAUUAAAGCAAAUUCACUAAUCUGUGUUCUUACUACACAGGGGCCUGGCUUUCUCAAGUCUGGGACCCUGCUGGGACUCUUAUUUCCGACGUCCUAUUGGGAGGAGCCCUCACAUCCAUCCUCCUGGAGAUGCCCAAUGCCCCCAAGUCUGGUCUAGAUCCACCCUUGCAUUCCAGGCUUGCACAUCCAACCGCUUCAAUGACAGCAUCCAUGAGGAUGUCGACAAGCUCCACAUGGUCAAGGAACUAAAGUGACCCCAUUUUCUCUAAAACCUGUCAAAACAGGGUGACAACAGCCCUACUGAGUGUUCCAAGCCCCCUUCAAAGGCCCAGUGUCAUUUUACGAAGUCAAAGAAAAGAUGUAAAAGUAAAAUCCUUCAGGGCACACCUGUUAAAUGAAUCACCACCUUUCUAGCACAGGGGUAUUAGGAUCUUGUGCAACAAUCACCACCGGAGACAUUAGGAUCCCUGAAACACCUGCCUCACUCACUGUCAUGUCUGCAGUGAAUGCAGAACAGUGUCUGAUUACCAAGUACAUCCAGCACACGCAUUGGACAUGGAUGUUGACCGAGUUCCACUUGGUGUGCCUGAGGCAGGCAGGAAAUUCUCUUGGAAACAGAAUCCUUAAGGGGAUUGGGGGGGGGAAGCACCCAUGAGCUAGAACUCAAUUCUACCCUACAGUAAGCAGCACUUCAAGGGCCGGGCAUGGUGGCUCACGCCUGUAAUCCCAGCAUGUUGGGAGGACCAGGCACGUGAAUCACUUGAGAUCAGAAGUUAAAGACCAGUCUGAAAAUAUAGUGAAGCCUCAUCUCCACUAAAAAUACAAAAAAACCAGCCGGGCGUGGUGGCCGGCGCCUGUAGUCCCAGCUACUUGGGAGGCUGAGGCAUGAGAAUCACUUGAACCCGGGAGGUGGAAGCUGCAGUGAGCUGAGAUCACACCACUGCACUCCAGCCUGGGUGACUCUGUCUCAAAAAAAAGCACCUCAAGACCGAGAAGCGGCCGGGCGCCAUGGCUCAUGCCUGUAAUCCUAGCACUUUGGGAGGCCGAGGCGGGCGGAUCACGAGGUCAGGAGAUCAAGACCAUCCUGGUCUAACUCGAUGAAACCCCAUCUCUACUAAAAAUACAAAAAAUUAGCCGGGCGUAGUGGCGGGCGCCUGUGGUCCCAGCUACUUGGGAGGCCGAGGCAGAAGAAUGGCGUGAACCCGGGAGGCAGAGCUUGCAGUGAGCCGAGAUCGCGCCACUGCACUCCAGACUGGGCGACAGAGCGAGACACCGUCUCAAAAAAAAAAAAGAGUAUCCAGUUCACACCAUAAUUUUAACAAGCCUGGGGCACCUGGACUAAAGACACACUCCAGUUUACUUACUUCCCCCCAACCAUCCCGCUUCUAUAUUCCCAGACUUGCUCUGAGUAGCAAAAGGAUAAAUGGAAGUGAAGGCCCGGAGCGGUGGAUCACCUGAGAUCAGGAGUUCGAGACCAGCCUGGCCAACGUGGUGAAACCCUGUCUCUAAUAAAAAUACAAAAAAACAGUCGGGCAUGGUGGCGCAUGCCUGUAAUCCCAGCAACUCAGGAGGCUGAGGCAGGAGAAUCACCUGAACCUGGGAGACGGAGGUUGCAGUGAGCUGAGACCACACCAUUCCAUUCCAGCCUGGGCAACAAGAGCCAAACUCCAUCUCAAAA